rnacentral:tRNA from 1 species
AACAAGAUGGUCGAAAUAUAGACAGUAAACUGUAAAUUUAUUCAUGAGUAAAUUACUCUCUUGUAU